AACGAACGCUGGCGGCAUGCCUAACACAUGCAAGUCGAACGAAGGCUUCGGCCUUAGUGGCGCACGGGUGCGUAACACGUGGGAAUCUGCCCUUUGCUUCGGAAUAACAGUUAGAAAUGACUGCUAAUACCGGAUAAUGUCGCAAGACUAAAGAUUUAUCGGCAAAGGAUGAGCCCGCGUAGGAUUAGCUAGUUGGUGGGGUAAAAGCUCACCAAGGCGACGAUCCUUAGCUGGUCUGAGAGGAUGAUCAGCCACACUGGGACUGAGACACGGCCCAGACUCCUACGGGAGGCAGCAGUGGGGAAUAUUGGACAAUGGGCGAAAGCCUGAUCCAGCAAUGCCGCGUGAGUGAUGAAGGCCUUAGGGUUGUAAAGCUCUUUUACCAGGGAUGAUAAUGACAGUACCUGGAGAAUAAGCUCCGGCUAACUCCGUGCCAGCCGCCGCGGUAACAC
rnacentral:rRNA from 1 species